GGGAAGCAGAUCAAGCAUUGGGUGACACAGAUCUGGUUUCAAAUUCUGGCUCUGCAAUUUACCAACUGGGAAUCCAGUACAAGUUGCUUAGACUCUUUGAGCCUCACAAGUUCCAUCAUUAAAAGAAGGAUGAUAAUCCUUUGCAGGGUUGUUGUGGGAAUUAAAUGAGCUAAUAUGAAGGAAGAUCCUGAUUUCAAAUAGGCCCUCAGUACAUGGUGGCAAUGACAAUUCUCCUCAUUCUCUCACUUUUUCUUCCUUCCAGCCUCCCUUCACUGCCUGAGACUCUUUUCAGGAAGGACAUGAGCCAAUGCAGUCCAUGAGAGCUGGCUACGGAAGGGGACAUCCUUGCUCCUUCUUACCCCUGCUUAUCCUCAGCUGUAAUCUGGUGACUAAAUGGCUUCUCCUUCCAUCAGCAAGGGGACAGUGAAACCAGGCACUGUGUUGGUCACUCUGGAUAAAACCCUUAACUGAUGACUCCAUUGGUAAGGACAAAGCAGAGUGAAAUACCUGAUAAUGAGGUAAAUCUCUUUUGGAACCUGAAGAAAGGUGAGAAGUGAAUGGGUGUUAGUAGGACGAUAAGAGAAGAAAAAUUCUCAAAGAUGGAAGGAGGAGAAAGUAAAAAGAACCAAUUGUAGGGCAGUAUUUUAAACAAGUGUUUUUUUCAUUUAUCAAUUAGAGAAUCUGACUUUUUUUAUUUCUUAAGCCAGUUGUUCUUAGAAAAUUGCCAUCUUCCACAUUUCUUAUUCAGAUACCUCCACAAAAGGAGAAAUUUGGCAGCUUUAUAUUCUGGGGUUUUGUGAGAAAAAUUCAUUUUGUCACCCAGAGUCAGCUGCUGAGAAAAAAAAAUAGCAGCAGGACCUUUUCCUCUCGUUGUUAUUCAAAUACAACCCAGUUCUCCAGGCUGACCGAGGAAUAAGUUGGAAGCAAGCAGUGAGCAGAGACUAAUGCCUUAAUUGGCUAUUAAUAUAUGGUCACUGCUAUUCUUAGAAAUAACUGGUGUUUCAAUAACUACCUCAAAAAUGGAGUUCAGAUUUCAUGGCUGUGUUCUAUCACACAUAAAACCAGGAAGAGUUGAUGGGUAAUAGGUUGGACCACGAUUCAUUUCUGGAAAGCUCCAGUUACAUUUGCUAUUGCUGUAAAAAGUCGUGCUUGGAAAGUUGCCUGGUAACCUGAUUUAUCUUGAAUAUUAAUAAUUCACCCAUCAGGAAACUACCUUGCCUGUAACUCAGUGUCAAAAUUGAACACCUCUUUGACUAUGUGGUCUGCAAGGUAAUGGUGGUGGGGUUGGAAGUAAAUUAGUUAAAUGUGGUUAGAGAAUGAAUCUGAUAAUGUGUUUAUCCAACUUGGGAAGAAUUUAGAUGUUGUUAAAGGAUAUAAAGUAUAUAAUCUUAAAGAAUUGAAAUGGGGAUUUCUUUUUAAGUUCUACAUAAUUGUUACUUGAUAAACUCAGAUGACGUCUCACACUGAAAGUUCACUAACCACAUAAUUAAUAGGGACAUGUAUUAUUGAUGUACUAAGACUACUUAAUAGCACUUUGGUUCCAUUUACAGAAGGAUAAAAUAGUCACCAGGCGUGAGAUCAAUAAAUCACAAGUUUUGAGUGUUAUAUUUACAACCUGAGAGUCAAGUAACUCUUCAUCAUUGAACAGUCUCCCACUUGGAACUAUGAGUGACCUGUUUCAGGUUUGUUGAGUGCCCUUGUGAAAAAAUUCUAAGCUAUGGAAACCAUUAUUUUCCCCCUGUGAAAUUUCCCCAUAGUACUUAGUUGGGCCUCCUUCCCUAUGUGGACGCUUUGAGAUGUCACAGAGGCAAGCAGUACCAAAGAUCAUGAAAGAUUUGGUAGUUACAAACACCUUGGUUCGCAUCCAGCAACUAUCUCCCAAAUUCAGCUGGGUCUGACAUAGCAGCUGAGCUUCCUGCUCAAUUUGGCCCCAACUCUGCCCAGACAGAGGACUUCUCUGUUUCCACUAGAACGAGCCAGGAACAAAAACUCCAUCCAUCUAAAAAUGCUUGAAAUAAUUCUAGUGUUGGGGAAGACAAAGAGAAAAUAACCGUGUGGUUUCACUGUAAGGAUUUAGGUAUAAGGAAGGGAAAUGGUGUCAGUCAGGGAUUACAUCCUCAUAUGCCACUUGAGGAACCAAAUACCUCCUAAGAAACAACCCACAUCCGACCCUAAACCCUCAGAUGCCAGGAAUCAUUAAGAGCAUUCACCACAGGAGAAAAUUUCUCUGUUAAACUAAAGAUAAACCACUGUGCCCCAAUUCCCAGAUGAUGGAAAUCGGGCUUUAAAUGAUAUAAUGAGUCACAUUUGCAUUCUUUUUAGAAGAUAAACAGCCAAUUUAUUUUUUGCCUUGAAUGGCAUGUCUUUUAGUAAUGUGAUUGAGGAGAUAAAAUAACCAGUGGUAACUGAUUAACUAUUUUAAGUCAUUGUGUUCAAAACGUGUGAUAUAUUAGUUCACUUAUCCAGAAGUGAUCUCAAUGAUUAGGAGUUGAGCCAAGGAAAUAAGCAAAGCAGCUAAGUGAAGGGUAAGCAACUGAAAUACUUACAAACUGAACCCUCUCUCUUAUGCUCUGAACUCACAGAAAAGGGCCUUAGAGCACUCCCCAGUAUCUAUUUAUUUUAUUUAAGAUACAAUUCUAAUAGCAAAAUGGAAAUAGUUGUUGCAAAGAGAUAAAAAGGAUGCUGUCCAAGUCAGGCAACUGAAAGUGGCAAGAAAUGACAGAACUGACAAUGAUAAAAGAAAUGGAUAAAUCAAAAUGGCAGGAAAAAAAAAUUCAUGAACAUUUUCUCAGUGUGGGACCAUUCUGCGUAGAGUAAAAUAAAAAUAAUUAAGCAAAACACAGAUUUGGUGUUCAUAUUUCAUAACCCUCUAAUAUCAGAAAAUAUGCGAUCUGUGUUAGGAAGACAAUUGAUGUAUCUUAGAAAUAGUUCCAACAUAAAAGGUUAAGUUAUUUUAAAUUCAGUCAUCUUGAAAAUAAGUGCAAUGCUAACUCCUCAUGUUGUUCUUCAUGGAUUACAAGGAAGCAGUGGAGUAUCACAGUUAAAAGGAUGCAUAUGGUUCCCAACUGCCCAGAUUUCAAAUCCCAGCUAUGCCGUGUGUGACCUUGGACAACUCACUUAACGUCUCUGAAGCUCAAUUCCUCCACUGCAAAAUGGGUAGUGUUACUAUUUUAGACCUCAAGGAUCCAAUGAUCUGGGAACACAGUUCAUCUGAGGAUAGGCAUUACAAGGUAAACACAGUGUUGAUAAAAGUUCUGUGUCCCUGAUGGUGUCAAGAAGAAAUGUGCCAUCAUUUUCAGGUAAAAACAACAACAAAUAAACAAACAAAACUAAAACAACCAGGAAAUCUGCAUCUGCUUCCUGAAAUAUGUCCACAAAAAUCAAAUAGGUAUAGAUAUACUUUUGCCUUAAACAGAUAAAUGAAAUUUUUGAGUAUCAAAAAAUUAUUUUCAACAUCCACAAAAUACUGAAACAGUACUCUUUAAAACAGUCAAGGUAAUGACAAACAAGGAAAGACAGAGAAAAUGUCACAGACCAGAGAAGACACGGCAUGAUGACUGAAUGUAAGGGAGUGUCCUGAAUUGGAUCCUAGAACAGAUAAAGAUUAUUAGUAAAAAGCAGUUGAAAUUUGCACAAGGACUGGAGUUUAGUUAAUAGUAAUGUAUAAAUGUUAACCUCAUAAUUUUGAUGACUGUAAUGUGGUUAUGUACAAUGUUAGCACUGAGGAAACUAGGUUAGGGGUAUUCAAGAACUCUCUGUACUAUCUUUGCAACUUUUCCAGAAAUCUAAAGUGAUUCCAAAAUAAAAAGUGUAUUUAGAAAAGUAUUUUCAGAUCUUUGAGAGGCAGGAGAGCGGGAACAACAUGCACCUUAAUGUCAGAAGGUUGAGUUUGUGUUUCCCUUUCACCACCAUCCAACAAGAUGACUUAAUGCAAGUUGGUUGAGCCUCAGGAUUCACAUUCAUAAAAGGGGGGGAUACAAUUUCUACCUUAUACAGUGUUAUUGAAAAGAACAAAUAAAAAAUUCAUGAACCCAUACAAAAAGUAACCAUAGGCACAACUAUUUUUCCAAACCCUGAUUUACAGCUUCAAUCUAACCUUAAAACUAUUUACUCAAUUGACACAUACAUUUUUCUUAUUUUACUUUUCGAAAAAGAUCAAUAAAUGAUCUGUGAUGCCUUCAAUAGAGAAAAAUUAAGAGUUGGAUAUCAGUCUCAGAGGGUUUACAUUUUCAAGAUGUUUUUCUUUCAAAAGUAACAUUGAGCUUGUUGAACUUGACAAAUUAGUGUUUUUUCGGAAAAUCUCCUGCACUGAUCUGGGGUGUCCCUGGGUGUGUAUGAAGACUUGGGCAAGAAAGAGCUCAAGAAAAAUUCAUGGAUUUGGUGUAUUACUUUAGGGUUGCGUGAUUCUGACUAACUUUAAGCCAAAACUAGGUAGAGGCAAAACGUUGCUGUGGAAGUUGUGAGAAAGUCCUUGGCAGAAAGAGCAGGCAGUGAGAGGAACAGGGGUGAAAUUAUCCUUUCAUUUUCUGGAAGGUACUGCCAGUGAAGUGGUUAAGAGUAUAGGCUUUUGAUCCAGACCUUCUGGAUUUGAAGCCAAACUCUGACUCUUCCUUUUUAGAGCUUGGGCAGGUGACUUAAGCUCUGUGUCUUGUUUAAAGAUAAUUAAUAAGGACAUGAUCCUAUCUGUAUUUUGGAAAACUCCUCUGGAAGCAGUGUGGAUGAUCGAUUAGAGCAACAUCAGACCCAACAAGGGCCGUGGUAGAGAAGCCAGCACAAUAGUAGAGAGGUGAUGAGGGCCUAAGCUGCACAGGGAGCCCUGAGCAUGGGGAGAAGGAGUCUAGAAAACCAUGAAGGAGAUGGGUAUCAGCAGAAAGUGGGGGAAUCAGGGAAAGAAAGGACUCUAGAUGGAUUCUUAGGCUCCUGGAGACUGGGAUUUUGUCCAUUAACCAAGAUAGAGAAUCAUGGAAGAGUAGGGAAAAGUCAUGCUUGUGAUUUGGGACAUACUACAUGUUUGUGUUUGGGGACAUUAAGAAGGAAAUGCCUAUCUGGGACAGGAACUUGUGUUUUAUCUCAUAUACCACUCUGAGUAAAUGGGAGCUUAAAGAGAGUUAAGUACAAGAUAGGGGUUAAGAAUGCUGUUUCUUUGACUUACUAGCUGUGUGUUUAAAAGGGUCAAUUGUUUAACUUUUCUGCUGCUUUUUCUUUUGUUUUGUUUUGUUUGUUUGUUUGUUUUAAGACAGAGUUUUGCUCUUGUUGCCCAGGCUGGAGUGUAAUGGCACGAUCUCAGCUCACUGCAACCUCCACCUCCCAAGUUCAAGCAAUUCUCCUGCCUCAGCCUCCAUAGGCAUCCACCACCACGCCCGGCCAAUUUUGUAUUUCUAGUAGAGGCGGGGUUUCUCCAUGUUGUUCAAGC
rnacentral:lncRNA from 1 species